GGGAAGCGGGUCUGGCUGACGUGCCGGGCCUGGGCGAGGUGAACGUCCAGGGAUCCGAGCUCGGUCCCGUGCCUUGGCCUCCCGCGGAUCUUCCUUGCUGCGAGGCUUCCGUGGCGGCGCGAGCCGUCGUGGUCGUCCUCUUCGGCCGCCAUUCAACGCUCAGCUCAGAACUGGCACGGACUAGGGGAAUCCGACUGUCUAAUUAAAACAAAGCAUUGCGAUGGCCCUCGCGGGUGUUGACGCAAUGUGAUUUCUGCCCAGUGCUCUGAAUGUCAACGUGAAGAAAUUCAAGCAAGCGCGGGUAAACGGCGGGAGUAACUAUGACUCUCUUAAGGUAGC
rnacentral:rRNA from 1 species